CACAACUGGAGGGCGUAAUAAUAUCAACAAUUCAACAAUAACAAACACCCCCCUUCUGACAGCUUGGCACUCAGCGUGAUACGGUGGUUGUUAGAGAGGAGGGAAUCUGUGACGAGGGUGAACGCUGUUAACGCGCCAUGCCUCUGACACACGCGUACACUGUUGUGUCGUAGUGGCGCGUGUGAUGAUAUGAUUUUUUUAUGAUCGAUUGAGAAUCGCGUCAGAUGGCGCGUUACACAGCCACUUUUCUUAGGCGAGCUGUUAGUGUGUAGAGCGCAGGAAGCCAUACCACCGUAUCCGUUAAAACCGUGGCAUAGGGCAGUGAUUCGUGGCGGCAGCAGCAAUACGUAAAUACUGUUUCCUCACUGACACACACUGGCUCUUUUGAUUCCAAAACGGAUUCAAAAUCUUCCCCGGUCCGAAAAAGCACUCAUACACAGUUACGCGGGGGGCCUGCUACCAUCCUCAAAAGUGCGUUCCAACGAUCGCCUCAAACUGUGCUAUUCGCCAAAUGACGCCCUCUCGGGGUGAAGACAGUAGCGUUAUGCUGUGAGAGGCAAGAGGUUGGAGGAGGAAAACGUCAAAGAAGACGCGUGGACAGAGGCGCCGAAGGCACACAAUUUUGCUGAUACACCAAAGGAGCAGCAGUUUUGAUGUGUUGGCGAAACAUGUUUUCUUCCGCUUUACUUAUAUCAUCAUUUUAACGCUGGAUUGUCCCCAUAGUAAGAUGUCGUCAGGAUUGUGUGACCGGCAUGCAAAUAGCAUUUUGCUCGUUUACCAACCUCACACACGCACUCCAGUCCCAUGAUCCUCCUCCGACAAACAGGGUUAUCAUACAUCAAGGAGCUGCGAACGACAAAAACCGCACAUCAACUGUUCGGCCAACGGCACCGGCCGGUUGAUGGACGCAAAAAGGCGAUAAAGGAGGGACAGAAAAAAAAAACCAAUCGAUAAGCACACGGAUAGCGCAAAUGUUGCCGGUGUGAAAACAUAGCUAGAAUGAAUAAAUAAAUAUGAUAAUGCAAAAGGGAUCGCGUAAAGAUAUUCUUCAAGCACCAGGACAAACCAUGAAAAACAUAGACAAACGAACGCGAUAAAAAGUGCACAACACACACAGGUAUCGAGAAGAUGAACACAACACACAGUGCACUCCGGAGACGAUCGCGCGCAGCCAGUAAGGAAAGAACGGAUUGCAAUGAUGAAGAAUCAACCAAACUAGCAUUUCGAACGAUGUGUCGGGUGGGAUGUCCGGUGUGGCUGGUAAACCGAGAGAGCACAGUUGUGGUGACAGGUUUGGUUGAUUAUUUAUUAUUCGAUUUCAAAGCACUGUACGCUCUGUAGGGGCUUGGAAAGCGAUGCGCGGUUGGUAAGCGAUAGGUGGAAUAAAUAAUAAAGCAUUAUUUUGUGUAUUUUCCACAAGCUUGAAAGCAAAUGUAUUGA